GGUCCCAUAGCUCAGUUGGUUAGAGCGUCGUACUAAUACUCGCCGUCCUCGGAUAACGAGCAUCAAGUAAAUGCGAAGGUCUUGGGUUCAACCCCCAAUGGGACCA